rnacentral:lncRNA from 10 species
GUAAGCAGUGAAGCCCAUGAGCCACUAGAAGCCACAUGUUCUGCCAUGUGGAGAAGAAUGAGAGAGUACAUCCUCAAAUUGAGGUGUGGCAUGAUGAUUUGGCUGCCCAGAGGAGAACCUGUCUUUCCCAUCUAAAGUGGGAGGUCAAGCCAAGUAGAGGGAAACAGCAACUGGAGAGCAGAUUUGCAAACCAGAAAAGCAACUCAUGAAUACAAAUUGCCUGGAAAGCAUUUAUUACAACAGAAGCUCUGCAAGAUAUACCGGAAAUUGACAGUGGCAUCGAAUUCCCAGCAAGGAAGUUUUCUAAGGACACCAACAGACACCAGCAGAAGACAGCCUUGCAUUUACAACAAACCAUUGAUCCACAACAAACCAUUGAUCCACACUUUCAAAAUCAUUGAGGUGAAGCAUAGAGAACUGGAGUGGAGACGGCUCUGGCAAAUCCAAACAAUAUCAAAAGCACUCUCAUACUGAAAACCCACAGUGCUGAACCACAGCUGAGAUGUAAAAUAUUUCACAAAAUCUUCUUCACCCUCUAUAGUAUUUCACCUGAGAGUGCAUGAUUUAAGUUGCAAGCACUGUCAUAGAUGAUGGGAUUCAGAGAUGAACACAUGGAAAUGGACUUUAUGUUCUCUAAUGUCACAAAGAAAGAGUGAUUAUGAAGAAGACCCAGAUUCCCACCUAUUAAUCUGAGCUUUGAAUUCUUUACUUUGCUGGGUCCACCGGAUUUUUUCUCCACUCAGCCCAUCGAUGAGAGUGGAGGCGGCCUGCAUCUUUUUCCGCAUCUCCACAGUCAAAUCCCUGAUUUGCCAGAGAUGAUCAAGACUGCAACUUUUUAUUGAGCAGCUCAAUCAAGAACUAAUUGUGUUCUCCUGUGCUCCAAUAGCUAUCACCAAAAAGCUAUCUCCACCACCACUCAAUCAUCUCUUUAAAAUGUCCAGGGGUGCCCUCUGUACUUUGACUCAGAGUCAGUCUAAUCAACUCUGGCUCCAAAAUACUUAACUAAUUUUUGCACCAUUAAGCAUCUGUAUACCAUGGUGUAGGGAAGAGUUAACACAGCAGGCCUAAUCUUGAAAAGGGUAUGCUUGCAGAGCUGACCCUUGUCUGUUAUCAGGGAACUUGGCUUUUGGAAUGUCUCCUCCAUUAGUAAUUGAUAAGGUUGUUUUGCAGUGCCAACUAGACUGUUUACACAAACCUUGUGAUACAUGGCAAACAUCUAUCUGCUUUCCUUCUAGGAAUCUGGAACUUUGGUAGUUGUAGCUAGGCAGGAAGUGACCAAACCUAAAAAAAAACCACUGGACUCUGAAUCUCAAGUGGGCUUCCCUGAAUGGAAACAGUGCAUAUGUUACUGCCCUUCAUACUGGAUGGAGAGGACGUUCUGCAUGGCCCCUUGGCAAAAGCAUAGGAAGCUGGAACAUCAAUUCCAUGUUCCUGGAACAUCGAUGACUCCACAAGAUGAGUCUUUUUCUCUACUGAUCUGGCUCUGUAUCCUUACUGUGUUGCCACAAUAAAUCUCAGCCAUGAGUAUAACUAUAAGUUGAACAUCCCUUAUUCAAAAUGCUUGGGACCACAAUGUUUCAGAUUUCAGAUUUUUUUCAGAUUUUGGAAUGUUUGCAUUUCACUUACUGGUUGAGCACCCCCAAAUCAAAAAAUCUGAAAUCUAAAAUGCUCCAAUAAUGAGCAUGUCCUUUGAGCAUCAUGUCCGUGCUCAAAAAGUUUCAGAUUUUGGAGCAUUUUGGAUUCCAGAGUUUUGGAUUUGAGAAGCUCGACCUGUAUAUGCUGAGUCUGGUGAGUCUUUCUGAUGAAGUACUAAAGAUGUGAGUGCUCACGGAAGUGCUGAUACAAGCGGUUUCAGAAGUGGCAGUACAGACAUCCAUUUACAACUAACAGAACUCUUUCAACCAUUCUAUACUCCUCACUAGUAUGCAGAUAGAUGGACAGAUACUUUGCUUCUCCUAAAAUAAAUUAUAAGACCAAAGUGAAGACUGAAGAGACAAGUAAGGAACCAUGUUCAAAAUUAAACAAAGCAUCUGGAGAUGGGCAGCAUUCAUUUCACAGGAACUUCAGAAAAUCUGCUAAAUCUCGUACAUUAACCAUGUCUAAAAUAAAAAAUGUACUAAAUAGC